rnacentral:rRNA from 1 species
CAGUAGCCGCGGUAAUACGAAGGGUGCAAGCGUUAAUCGGAAUUACUGGGCGUAAAGCGUGCGUAGGCGGUUUGUUAAGUCUGUUGUGAAAUCCCCGGGCUCAACCUUGGAAUGGCAAUGGAUACUGGCAAGCUAGAGUGUGUCAGAGGAUGGUGGAAUUCCCGGUGUAGCGGUGAAAUGCGUAGAGAUCGGGAGGAACAUCAGUGGCGAAGGCGGCCAUCUGGGACAACACUGACGCUGAGGCACGAAAGCGUGGGGAGCAAACAGGAUUAGAUACCCCUGUAGUCCCUGUCUCUUAUAA